CUUAAUUCUCGUCUUCCCUUCCCUCCUCGCCCCUCCCCCCCUAUCGAGCUCCCUCCUCGCCGGACUCGGAUCCGGUUCCGGUUCCGAUUCCGGGUCCGCUUCGAGAUCCAGAUCCCUUCGUGUUGGCUUCUGCGCCUCGAUAUAUGGAGCAUCUAGGGCUUCUCGCUUCGCCGAUCCCGUGGGUUUAAUCCUGAUCGGUGUGAUGUAGGGCUUCGGAAUGUGGCUCUAGUUCUUGAUUCCUCAUCGCUCUCUGUGCUCGGUUUGCGGUCUCCACUUAAAUUCCCUAUUCUUCUCUUGAUGAUCUGUCACGUAUCUGUAACUUGCGACAUUCUCGCCAACCGGUGAUGCAAUCGUUGCUGGAAUCUUAUUACGGGCGUCGGAAACGUAGCUGAUCGUUGUUUGUUCGAAAUGGUCAUCCUGCCUUCUUCUUUUCCGAGCAGAGAUGGAUCCUUCCCUCUCCAGAUUUCUUUAUGGAUCCACGAGUCAAUUAAGUCCUGGUUUCCUAGAACCAGCAGAGCGACCGUGGUAAUCCAGUUUAGCUGAUGUAUCUGAUCUCCUGAGCAUUAAUUUUGUAACCGAAAGAAGAGAUAUUGGAAUAUGAUAUCAAAUUGAACAAGUGAUUCCUGUCUUCAGUGCUUUGUAAUCAAGUAUGUUUGUUCUGAAACACUAUAUCUUGUUGUUAAUUGCAUGCUUGUCGGAUUUGUGGAUAAUAUCUUCUGGGAAAACAAUUGCCAUUUUUCUUUCGUCUGUCAUUUUCCUUUCCAACCAUAAAGUCGUGAUUACAUGAUCAUACACUGCGUGUUCACUUUGAUGCUAGAGAUAGCCCUGAGUUGAUGGAGGGUUUAGGGCCUUUUAGAGGAUCCUGAUGAACUCUACUAUCAGAACGUUAAUUUUAUAGAUGUGUGUACUGAGGAGUUUGAUAUAAGACGGUUCUUCAUUGAAUGUGUUUGUCAGCUGGGCGAAGCAUUCAUUUAAACACCAAAGAUGUGAGGUUACAGUGUUGGUGACCUCAAAAUGGACCAGAUACCAUAUAAGACUAGCUAGCCUAAGCAAACUAUGACCUUAGAUUAGAUUGACAGGAGCAACGUACAUUUCUAUGUAAUUAUAUUUAUAUAAGUGAGGCAGAUCCGCGUCGGCCCUCCGGGUUAUCACGGUCAGCAGCUGUUAAAGAGCUUAGCGCGCACCUCCCCGAACCGUUCUCGGCUGAGGCAAUCGGCUCUCGUCAUCAGCGACUCUUGCAUGGCACAUGAGGAGGAGGAAGGGGAAAAAAGUAAAAGAGAUCAGAGAAUGUCUCACC